AGUGAACGCUGGCGGUAGGCCUAACACAUGCAAGUCGAACGGCAGCACAGUAAGAGCUUGCUCUUACGGGUGGCGAGUGGCGGACGGGUGAGGAAUACAUCGGAAUCUACUUUUUCGUGGGGGAUAACGUAGGGAAACUUACGCUAAUACCGCAUACGACCUACGGGUGAAAGCAGGGGAUCUUCGGACCUUGCGCGAUUGAAUGAGCCGAUGUCGGAUUAGCUAGUUGGCGGGGUAAAGGCCCACCAAGGCGACGAUCCGUAGCUGGUCUGAGAGGAUGAUCAGCCACACUGGAACUGAGACACGGUCCAGGCUCCUACGGGAGGCAGCAGUGGGGAAUAUUGGACAAUGGGCGCAAGCCUGAUCCAGCCAUACCGCGUGGGUGAAGAAGGCCUUCGGGUUGUAAGGCCCUUUUGUUGGGAAAGAAAAGCAGCAGGUUAAUACCCCGCUGUUCUGACGGUACCCAAAGAAUAAGCACCGGCUAACUUCGUG
rnacentral:rRNA from 1 species